AUCCUGAAAACCAAUGGCGGUUUGGUGGCUCUGGGAAGAAUUGUGAGAAAUGUUGGUGGAUUAGGGAGCGAGCAUCUUUUAUCGAGAGGCCUGUUUGUAUGAUUGAACCGACUUCAGCUGCAUGUUUGGCGAAAAAGUCUGCACGUUCAUUAGCAGCAAUGCCUAUAUGCGAGGGAAUCCAGAUGAUGAUUCUGUAUUAUUUAUUUUGAGUGUAUUAUUGGUGUUAAUAGAUGCGUUAUUUAAUCCAGACGGGAGCAGUGAUUGCUGGAAUUUGUUUAAUAUAUUUAAACCUUCGGCACUAUUUAGUGAGAUACUUUUGAAAAACUUGCUUGUUGGAAAAUUGGUUGAGACGGUGUUAUUUGAAUCGGACUGGCUGUGACGUGAUGAAUUGGAUUUCUAGGUGACGCAACUUUGCUGUAUUUUAAUUUUGUGACUCUUUUAUUUAUCUCCUCAUAAACGCUUCUUUUUGGA